CCUACGGGUGGCAGCAGUAGGGAAUCUUGCGCAAUGGGCGAAAGCCUGACGCAGCAACGCCGCGUGAUUGAUUAAGCCCUUCGGGGUGUAAAGAUCUGUCAGUGGGGACGAAAAUUUACGGUACCCACAAAUGAAGCACCGGCUAACUCCGUGCCAGCAGCCGCGGUAAUACGGAGGGUGCAAGCGUUGUCCGGAAUCAUUGGGCGGAAAGGGUUAGUAGGUGGUAUAUUAAGUCUGGUGUUAAAUGCAGAAGCUUAACUUUUGUGCGGCACUUGAUACUGGUAAGCUUGAAUGUGGUAGAGGUAAAGGGAAUUCCUGGUGUAGCGGUGAAAUGCGUAGAGAUCAGGAGGAACAUCGGGGGCGAAGGCGCUUUACUGGGCCGUAAUUGACACUGAGGAACGAAAGCCGGGGUAGCAAAUGGGAUUAGAUACCCGAGUAGUC
rnacentral:rRNA from 1 species